AUUGAACGCUGGCGGCAUGCCUUACACAUGCAAGUCGAACGGCAGCACGGGAGCAAUCCUGGUGGCGAGUGGCGAACGGGUGAGUAAAGUAUCGGAACGUGCCCAGUCGUGGGGGAUAACGUAGCGAAAGUUACGCUAAUACCGCAUACGAUCUAUGGAUGAAAGCGGGGGAUCGCAAGACCUCGCGCGAUUGGAGCGGCCGAUAGCAGAUUAGGUAGUUGGUGGGGUAAAGGCUCACCAAGCCGACGAUCUGUAGCUGGUCUGAGAGGACGGCCAGCCACACUGGGACUCAGACACGGCCCGACCUCCUACGGGAGCCAGCAGUGGGAAAUUUUGGACAAUGGGCGAAAGCCUGAUCCAGCCAUGCCGCGUGCAGGAUGAAGGCCUUCGGGUUGUAAACUGCUUUUGUACGGAACGAAAAGGUUUGGCCUAAUAAGCUGAGCUCAUGACGGUACCGUAAGAAAAAGCACCGGCUAACUACGUGCCAGCAGCCGCCGUAA
rnacentral:rRNA from 1 species